ACACUCCUGCGGGAGGCAGCAGUGGGGAAUUUUGGACAAUGGGCGAAAGCCUGAUCCAGCAAUGCCGCGUGAGUGAAGAAGGCCUUCGGGUUGUAAAGCACUUUCAGCGGGGAGGAAGGCGAUACGGUUAACAACCGUGUUGAUUGACGUUACCCGCAGAAGAAGCACCGGCUAACUCCGUGCCAGCAGCCGCGGUAAUACGGAGGGUGCAAGCGUUAAUCGGAAUUACUGGGCGUAAAGCGCACGCAGGCGGUCUGUCAAGUCGGAUGUGAAAUCCCCGGGCUCAACCUGGGAACUGCAUUCGAAACUGGCAGGCUUGAGUCUUGUAGAGGGGGGUAGAAUUCCAGGUGUAGCGGUGAAAUGCGUAGAGAUCUGGAGGAAUACCGGUGGCGAAGGCGGCCCCCUGGACAAAGACUGACGCUCAGGUGCGAAAGCGUGGGGAGCAAACAGGAUUAGAAACCCUUGUAGUCCCAUG
rnacentral:rRNA from 1 species